UACGUAGGGUGCGAGCGUUGUCCGGAAUUAUUGGGCGUAAAGGGCUCGUAGGCGGUCUGUCACGUCGGGAGUGAAAACUCAGGUCUUAACCCUGAGCCUGCUUCCGAUACGGGCUGACUAGAGGUAUGCAGGGGAGAACGGAAUUCCUGGUGUAGCGGUGAAAUGCGCAGAUAUCAGGAGGAACACCAAUGGCGAAGGCAGCACUCUGGGACGGUACUGACGCUGAGACGCGAAAGCGUGGGGAGCAAACAGG
rnacentral:rRNA from 1 species